rnacentral:rRNA from 4 species
GGAUGCGAUCAUACCAGCACUAAAGCACCGGAUCCCAUCAGAACUCCGAAGUUAAGCGUGCUUUGGCGAGAGUAGUACUAGGAUGGGUGACCUCCUGGGAAGUCCUCGUGUUGCAUUCCC